UAUGUCUCCUUAUUUCUCUAGAACACUGGACUCAUUAUAGAUUUGUAGUAAAUAUGUCUUGAUAGCAUAUAUUACUGGCAUGUCGGUGAUAUGAAUAUAAAUUGAAAGAUUUACUGUUUAAUUUCACCAACAGCCUACUUACUUUAUUCCCUGAUGUCAGGACUAUACAAUGUCUACGUUUUUUUUCAAACCAACCAGCUAAUUUGUCUACUUUAUUAACUGUCACAACAUCAGCUUCUAUGGCAUCAUCAAAAAGCAGAAAUGGCUUAUGGCACCAUCACUCUUCAGACAAAUGAAAUGAUGUCUGCCAUUCUGUUCAUCAAACUGAUGCCAACAACUAAGCUGACAUCCAUGGCUUUUGGAUAACUCAGCUGGUGUGCCAUCUCAUUCGUCUACUCAGGCAAAUAAGUGCUCAAAUGAGCCUAUUAUAUCAACUUUUGUAACUAAUCAUGUACAUAGACUGAUGUUAUAUAAAAGAGGUGUACCUGCCAUGAUGUACAAUAGCUUACCAGCUGUCAUUGUUGGUGGUGGUUAUUGGGUACAUAGCCCAGUUGAGAAUUGCGAUAUUAUUAGUCAUCACUGUUUUGUCAGUCGUUAUCACAGCAAACUAUUGGGUUGUCCAGAAAAAGUGCGUGCUGAUUUUUAAAGGCAAGAAAAAGAUAUCACAGAAAAAGGAAAUUAAAAUUCAUUAAAAUGGCAGAUCUAUCGGACUUUCAAAGAGGUCAAAUUGUUGGUGCCCGUAUGGUAGGUGCUAGUGUAAUAGAAACAGCUGAAAUGUUUAGUGUAUCAAGAAGUACAGUCUCAAAAGUAAUGACAGAAUUGGUCCCUAGAACAGUGGGAGAAUGCUAUUUUCUCAGACGAGUCAUCCGUCAUCAUAUUUCCAACCACCGGCCAAGUAUACAUGUGGAGACAGGCAAAAGAAGCAUUUGACCCAGACUGAUUUCUUCUAACUGUUAAACAUAGAAGAGGAUCUGGGGGGCUAUACAUUGGAAAUCUGCUGGCCCAAUGGUUUCCCUUCAUGGCAGAAUUAAUAGUCAAGACUAUUUAAGCAUUUUAUCUGAGCAAAUUCAUCCUAUGGUUGUGGAACUGUUUCUGGUGGGAAAUGCAAUCUUUCAGGGUGAUAAUGCACCAGUUCACACAGCUAAAGUUGUUACUGAAGGAUACGAGAAACAUUCUAGUUGAACAUCUUACCCGGUCACCACAGUCCCCAGAUCUCAGUAUUAUUGAACAUUUAUGGUGCAUUU